rnacentral:rRNA from 1 species
UACGAAGGGGGCUAGCGUUGCUCGGAAUCACUGGGCGUAAAGCGCACGUAGGCGGACUCUUAAGUCGGUGGUGAAAUCCUGGAGCUCAACUCCAGAACUGCCUUCGAUACUGAGAGCUCGAGUCCGGGAGAGGUGAGUGGAACUGCGAGUGUAGAGGUGAAAUUCGUAGAUAUUCGCAAGAACACCAGUGGCGAAGGCGGCUCACUGGCCCGGUACUGACGCUGAGGUGCGAAAGCGUGGGGAGCAAACAGG